rnacentral:lncRNA from 1 species
UUGAUCGUCUGAUACUUUCAUAUUCUCAUGUGAUCUGGUGUGAACUAGUGGCCUCUGUUUAACGUUGUUUCAAUAGACGUAGAAGCAUAAUUCCAGUAGAAUCUCCAUUUGGUUCUUUCAUUUGGUUGAUUAUCCUUUUGUUUUGUUCAAUCCAUACAUGACACUUUGAAGGGGUAUCCAGCAUGUUCGUUUAAUGUUCUGAAGGUGUGAGAAGAAUCUGUUAUGUGUCUGCAAAUUGUGCCUCCAGGUGCUGAGAGAAUCCCAAGAGUGCUGAGAGGUGUUUUCCUUCUGUGUGCCUCGUCUUCAGUUGCAGUGAAGAGAAUCUUCGGAAGUACAGAUAUGUAGUGAAGUGACCAUGCUGGCGAGAACACACUUGAUGGUGUAAAGGGAAACCCCAUGCUUGUGUCAAGUGAAACCUCAUGCUGUGAUGAGAGAUCUGCUUUUGGUGCGAAGGGGUACUUCCUCCUGCUGCUGAGAACAUCCUCCUGCUAAAGGCCAGUAGUGUCAAAAGGUCCCUGCUGGUGUGGAUACCUCCUGCUGCUGUGAAGGGAAACUUGCUGCCUAUGUGAACUGAACCAUCCUGCUAAAUUUAAGGGUAACCUCCUGCUGGUGUGAACUGAAGUAUGCUGCUUGUGUGAAGCUGGACAUCCUGCUAGAAUCAGGGAUAAUCUCCUGGUUGUUUCUUACCUGCUUGCAAUAUUUACUUGAGGAAAGUAUUUGGAUUGCCUUUCCAGGUUAUCUCAG